rnacentral:rRNA from 1 species
UACGGGGGGGGGCAAGCGUUGUUCGGAAUUACUGGGCGUAAAGGGCGCGUAGGCGGCUUUUCAAGUCGGGCGUGAAAUCUCCGGGCUUAACCCGGAAGGGUCGUUCGAUGCUGUUGAGCUAGAGUGUGGAAGAGGCAACUAGAAUUCCGUGUGUAGCGGUGAAAUGCGUAGAUAUACGGAGGAAUACCUGAGGCGAAGGCGGGUUGCUGGGCCAACACUGACGCUGAGGCGCGAAAGCCAGGGGGAGCAAACGGG